UGACACAAGAGAAGCAGCGACAACAACGUUUUCAUCCUGAUUUUUAAUUUUUUAUUUAUUAUUUUGAUGAAGACAUUGGGCCAUCAGCUGGUAAAGAGCUGUGUGUCUGAGCCCCAAAGUAAAUCCACUACUGGAGGUAAAACCAGUUCUUACUUGGUUUAGUAAUGAAGCUGUUCAGAGCGCAUGCACGGAAAGUUUUUCAAAAUAAAAGCAAUGAGUGUAAUUUCCCAAUCAUUCAUUCACUCCGUCAAUAAGUAAAUGGUGAAUGUACAGACUGAAGAGGAAUUAGUUUGUGGAGACAGAGAUUUUCAUUUUCAUUUCUAUCUGAAAUUAUAAUGUGAAUGAUUUCAUUUUAAGACGUUUUGAUGGGUUUUUAUUUUGUAGUUCUACAUAUUUCCCGAUAAGAGGUGGACCAGUAGCCUAGCAAAAACAUUUAAAAUAAUUUUAUCUUCAGAUGUAAAGUGACGCAAGAGAGAAAAAAAAACACAUAAUUCGUUCAUUUUACUUUCUAACAAAAAUAAAGCCCAGCAGUGAUCAGUUUCUCUGAAUUUUUUUGUAGAGUAGGGGGCGUGUCUAAUGUAGACCAACUAAGCUCAAGUCACAUGGUCUGUAUUAUUAUUAUUAUUAUUAUUAUUAUUAUUAUUAUUAUUACAAUAAUUGUUGCAAAACUAUUUAUGACUAAAUGUUGAUGAAAUUAUUCAACAGAGUAACAUCACUAAACAUAUGUUAAAGAUGUUGACGCCUGAAUCAUCUUAAAUGUGAUAUUUAUAAUAAUAUGAUUUCAUGUGAAUGUAUUUUAUGUAUUGUUGAGGUAUUUAUAUGAACUGUUUCUUUAUUAACUCUUCUCCAGGACGCUGAUGACUUGUGUGGAAGUUUAAACACUACAAAUAUUUGUAGACUUCAAAUAAAACUCACCUCUCGUUUCCUUUAAAACGAUUAGAAAUAAUGAGUGGAAAUGUGAGGAUGAUGCUUAUUACAAUCAUCAGUGAACAACUUAUAUUGAUCAGGAUCAUUAUCAAAUAGUUUUUUCUGCCAGUUCAGUUUUAUUUCUCAUUUCUUGGUGCUGAUGUCACAGUACACAGUCUGGAUCUCAUCAAUCACUUCAACACAUAAACAUAACCUCACAUAGACAGAAACUCUGGAAGGUUUGAGACUCCAGAGAAUCCAGUGCUGCAAUAACUCAGUGAGUGUUUCACUUUGGAACAAACAACAUUUAUAAUGUGAGUGAAACAUAAAUAGACUCAUCGUCACUAAUAUGGAAGAUUUCUGUUAAAAGAAACUAGAAAAGGAAGAAAAGAUGAUGAAGAAUGUGAAUGAGAUCUUACCAGUUGAUGAAACACGACAGAAGAGAAGCAACAAAAGCAAAGUUUUCAUCUUGUUUUGUUUCUAUAAAGACUUUAGAC